rnacentral:sRNA from 1 species
AUGCUAAGACCAUCGUCGUCCUCCUGCUCGCUCGCUCUUCGUGUUCGUCCUGCUCGCCCUACUCGUCAUGCUCGUCUAGAUCGUCCUGAUCGCUCGACUUACUACAUCGGCCACGCUCGCUCGCUCGCUCGAGCAGCCUAAGAAAUCGCCAGUCUCUCUCUCACUCGUCAUUUACAAAUUCCAUUUGUUGUUUUGAUUAUGUGAAAUCUGGAUUGCUUUGAUUUUGUGAAAUCUGGGUUGGUCUUAUGCUUUGAAAUUGCUUGUUCUUCAAUGAUUUAUGCUUCUGGGUAUUUUAUGAUGUAGUUGUACGGAUUUGAUUUCUGCUUCUGUGAAAUUGCAAAUUCCAUUUGCUGCCACUGUAAGUUAAUUCAUCUGUGUCUCUUGAUUCAAUCUUUGACUCCUGAUACAUUGUUUAGGUGGCUUUUAACCUCCUGCAUAGAGCUACUUGAUAUUGUAUCUAUCAAUCUAUGCGAGGUCCAAGGUUUAUCUUUUUAUUUACUAAUUUAUCUUUGGGGGGAAUUUUGUCAUAAUGAGUUAGAUAGAGGCGUUCUAAGGGCUUAUUUAGCAUUAUAAUCAAUUAAUAAAUGGAUCAUAUGGAUCAUUAUUGUUCCAUAAAGUAGUUAAUUGGUUAUCAAUAUCAUCCGUAAGGAGUGAUAUCUGGAUUAAGCUUGCAGCUCUGUUCCUUUGUUUGGAAAUUUUGUAUGGGUUGGAUGUAAGCAUGAAUCCUGGAUUGUAAGAUUAUGGUGCCCUUUAACUGAAGCUUGUCAUGUAUUUGAUUGAAAUAAUAUGAAAUAAGCACAACUGGUUGCUGAUGGUGAUCCGAUGUAGUUUUUGGGACCUAAUGAGACACUGCUCUAGAUACCUGAAACAUCAGUACUGAAAAUGAAACAUGAUUGAGAAAGUCUUAGAAAAACAUCCUACCUUUAUAUAUAGGUACGUCAGAUAGGCACACUCUUUCUUUGGCUUUAUUCUUACAGCCAAUUCUCUGUUUAGAAUUGAUGAUAUCGGAGCAUUGAUCUCCUUAACCUCCUUUCCUUCAAUAAUUGGCUAUAUUUUCUUAUGAUAUCAUAAUAGGUUUUGCAAAAGGGGUAUGGAUGAUGGGCGUGAUUGAUGAGAUUCGAAUGCCUGUUACAGAAACAAACCGAAACCCAAUAUUAGUUGACACAAGGACUCGUGUGAAAGAUACACUUACUGUUGAACCACAACGAAGAAAUGGAAGGCUUCAAUUAAUGUGCUACAAGUACAUUUGGGAUGAUUUAGUUGCUGAUAAAUUCCCAUCAAAGAAAUUUUUCACUUUUUUUCCUUAAAUCCUCAUGGUAUCUUAUAUGAAGAAAUCACAGAGAUGGCUGCUAACUCAAGGUUCCCAGCAGAGACCCUUGAUGACAUAGUGAGAUACUACAGAAACACAUGUAGCAUGCUGCCCUCUACACAUGACCAGCUGCUAUUGAGAUAUGAGUUACAGAAAGAUCAUUCGUUACUUGGUGAAGAUGAGUUUGCAUACGACUCUGAUUGGGUCAAGAAUCAAAUACAGGGUUGUCUUGAGUUCUGGUUAAGAGAGCGAGAAACAAGUUACACUCCUAAGGAUGAGGGAUGGAAAUGCAGGUUCUGUCAAUAUUCUUCUGUUUUCCCCGCUAGACGUGCAAAGUCUGCAAACUAUACUAAUACACCAAGUUAGAGAAAAGCAGUAGCAUUGGUGAUGUUUCAAUCAACAUCGUCAGUAAGUGUACAAAGAAGCACAAUUCUUGG